rnacentral:rRNA from 1 species
CAAUCGUGACCAGGGAACUCCAAGUGGCUGGGGUAAUACCCAGUUUUUUCUUGACUCUUCAAAGGUCUUGGAAUAAGGGGUGGGUAAGGACGGUGCCAGCCGCCGCGGUAAUACCGGCGCCUCAAGUGGUAGUCGCUUUUAUUGGGCCUAAAACGUCCGUAGCCGGUCUGGUGCAUUCGUGGGUAAAUCAACCCGCUCAACGGGUUGAAUUCUGCGAGCACGGCCAGACUUGGGACCGGGAGAGGUGUGGGGUACUCUCAGGGUAGGGGUAAAAUCCUGUCAUCCUGAGAGGACCACCUGUUGCGAAGGCGCCACACUAGAACGGAUCCGACGGUCAGGGACGAAACCUAGGGGCACGAACCGGAUUAGAUACCCGGGUAGUCCUAGGUGUAAACGCUGUGGACUUGAUGUUGGGGGCGCUCCGAGCGCUCUCAGUGUCGAAGCGAAGGUGAUAAGUCCACUGCCUGGGGAGUACGGUCGCAAGGCUGAAACUUAAAGGAAUUGGCGGGGGAGCACUGCAACCUGAGGAUUGUGCGGUUUAAUUGGACUCAACGCCGGGA